UACGUAGGUGGCAAGCGUUGUCCGGAAUUAUUGGGCGUAAAGCGCGCGCAGGUGGUUUCUUAAGUCUGAUGUGAAAGCCCACGGCUCAACCGUGGAGGGUCAUUGGAAACUGGGGAACUUGAGUGCAGGAGAGAAGAGUGGAAUUCCACGUGUAGCGGUGAAAUGCGUAGAGAUGUGGAGGAACACCGUGGCGAAGGCGACCUUGCC
rnacentral:rRNA from 1 species